rnacentral:rRNA from 1 species
UGGCUCAGAUUGAACGCUGGCGGCAGGCCUAACACAUGCAAGUCGAGCGGUAGAGAGAAGCUUGCUUCUCUUGAGAGCGGCGGACGGGUGAGUAAUACCUAGGAAUCUGCCUGAUAGUGGGGGAUAACGUUCGGAAACGGACGCUAAUACCGCAUACGUCCUACGGGAGAAAGCAGGGGACCUUCGGGCCUUGCGCUAUCAGAUGAGCCUAGGUCGGAUUAGCUAGUUGGUGAGGUAAUGGCUCACCAAGGCUACGAUCCGUAACUGGUCUGAGAGGAUGAUCAGUCACACUGGAACUGAGACACGGUCCAGACUCCUACGGGAGGCAGCAGUGGGGAAUAUUGGACAAUGGGCGAAAGCCUGAUCCAGCCAUGCCGCGUGUGUGAAGAAGGUCUUCGGAUUGUAAAGCACUUUAAGUUGGGAGGAAGGGCAGUUACCUAAUACGUGAUUGUCUUGACGUUACCGACAGAAUAAGCACCGGCUAACUCUGUGCCAG